GUCUGCCCCGGCCCUGUGAGGAACAUCUCAGGGCACAGUGCCCCACAUCAGGCACCGUUCCCAACUUCUUCCUCGUCCAACCAAAGAAUCCCUGAGCCCUAUUUCCUUGUUUCCCUUCUCUUCCCAGUCCAUUUUCCUUUCCCACCUUCUCCCAUUGCUGUCCUGGCAUUCUCUUGCCUGUGAUAUUUAUAUAGUUCUUGGCUGUAAAUGGAUUUCUUCUGGACCUGGAGUGCUCUGGGAAUUGUGUUACACUCCAAGUAGAACACAUUGAGGAACGUUUUAAUGGAGUUAUUGAAGGUGAUGGACCUGACUCAUAAGGACUGAAACUUGGAUAAAAAAAACAAACCACAAUUCCCUGGUGCUGGGGUCACUCUGCUCAAAAAGUAACAAUCAUGGAAUUCAUUUCUUGGAAAACUCACACUGAACAGCAUUUUUGGAUGUAUUGAAUGUGCAGCCAACCCUGUGCCAGGGGUGUGUAUUUUGAAUUAUCUGCUCUCCUUAUUUGAAGAGGUCUGUCCCUGUACUCUGAUUGCUCCUUGGUGGGUCUGCCAGCACCAUCAGAAAUGAUCACCUCGCCGGUGGUUUCCUUUAAUCCACCAGCAGAGCUGCUCCAGAGGAGGUGUCUCAUCCUGGAAAAGGAGCUGCUUUGGGAAGCAGCUCCGUGUUUUACUUCCCCACAAGCGGGAAGCAGCCGUAGGAAUCGCACUGCUCUGUCAGCUGGCUCAGUCCCUGGUGACAAAUCUCUCCAGGGUGGCACUGCCCAGCCCUUGGCACACACCAGCACCAGCUCCCCUAGAACCUGCUUUUUAUCACUUCUCUGAGUACAAAGCCGUGUCUGUAAGGUGAGAUGGAUGAAAAAAUCAAACUAUGGAGACCUCCCUAUUUCAGGAUAGUGCCUGUCAUGGACAGUAUUGAUGUUUUUUUCCCUGUUCCUGGCAAUGUUUUUGUGGCAAAUUGUGAAAACUCAUCUAUUUGUGGCUUUUCCAGGUGAGUCCACCCAAUUUCUAUGGACCUUUAAAACAUCUGAUUUUUCUUAUGAGUAGAUCUCAAUGAAGAAGUUUAAAUGAAGAAGUUGAAAUGAAUAUUCUUCCCAGCUUCCUCUAACCCCUGCUUUUUUUAAUCUCUUAAUUGUAAAACACCACAAGUGCAAACUGGAUUAGAGAUGCAUUUCUCAUGUGAAUAAAUACAGGUGAACACAUGUGAAUAAAUUGCAGCAGAUGUGAAGUUUUGUGAACCAAACCUGCUGCCCAACGAGUAAAACCCUUGUAGAGUCUGUACCAUGUGCUCAGAUGUGCACAAGCUGAAUUUUAAUUCAUUAUUUAAUUAAUUUUUAUUAUUAAUUUUAUUUUUAAUUUAUUUAUUGAUUUAUGAAUAUAUUAAGCUGAAACUUAUUUAUGAGGCAAGUCUUUUACUGACUUUGCCAAUAGAAAACCACCUCUGUGGAGAGUCUAAAUUGUGGUUCCAUGAGACACAUAUUGGAUUUUUUUGUCGUUAUCGUUCUGAUGAAAACCUUUAUUGAUCUUCUGCUAUUUCUGUUUGAACUGAAGACAAACCUGGGCACUUUAUGCUGAGAAGAAUCCAAGAGGAAAUAAAGGGGUUGCUCGAAAACCCAAAUGAGAGAAAGUAGCUGUUGGAUGGAUUCUUGAGGAGGAAAGCACAACAGAAGGGAGCAUUUAAAACCCUGAAAGGCUCUAAAUGCCUGGCAGUCAGACAAUAUCAAUUAUACAUGCCCCUGUGUGUUUAGAAACUCAAUAAAACUCUUCCAUUUCUCAGGGAUCCAGAGGAACAGCUUGUUCUGUAAAAGGCAUUUUCUAACUAUAGACAGGAAUCAGAGGUCGGGAGAUACUUGUAAAUCACCCCAGCAGGAAGAUGCAGCAUCACAGUCUUGAGAUGAUACAGGAAAUGAGUAUUUUCUUGGCCAGAAUAUUUCCCUGCAGUGCUGUGGAAUAGGGAAGUUGGGGAGGAAUCCUAAUGGAGAGACAGCAGUAGUGAAGAGCUUCAGUCUCCAGUGGCUGCAGCUGGGAGAUGGAGAGAGCCCUGAGCAUGGAACUUUGCUGCAUGCCUGGAGAAAGAUGGAUCUCUCCUGCAUCCCACAGGCUGGAGAGGAGGGGGGGAGCACUCGGUCCUUUGGAAUGGUGUGUGCUGUGUCUGCCAACAGCUGCUGCUCCUGAGGGUCGUUAGCACCGGCCUCGGAUCCAGGAAUGGGAAACACAAACAUUAUUUCAUUAAUAUUAAAGACCUUGCUACAGGAGAGUUCUACGUGUUGACAAGAUAACACACAGCUUUAAUAUAGCAAAUUUCUGGAGCUGGUGAGGAUUCUGGUGCCUUCCUUGUGGAAAACAUUUGUUUUCAGUGUUUAAAAUGAGCCCCAGUGAGAUGGGAGUGAAAUCCUGGUCCCUGUUUCCAUCAAAGUACUUUUCUUACAAAAACUCAACCUCCCACCUCACUUUUUCCAACAAGUGCUCCCUCCUGAUGCUAAGCAUCAGGAGUUUCAACAGCAACAAGCAUCACCACUUUCAGCUGUUUUUCAGGAUAGGCAUUUAGUACGUGGUGUUUUACCCCCUUUCCCAGGGCAGCUUGUUAAUUAAGGUGGAUCACUCAGGAGGCCUGUCUGGAAGGAACUCUGGGUGGGAGAGGAGGUGCAAACCCAGGGGACCAACACCAAGCACAGCCAGCUGUUCUUUUGAAAGGGAGGAGUUAAAAAUCCGAGCUCCAAAGGACAAAGAAAGGGGGGGAAAAGGAAAAAUCUUGAUGCUGGAAAAUGAGAAGCUGCUUAUCAGAGGAAAUGUGGAUGUGUGAUGCCAGGGAAGAAAGCAUAUGGAGUCAAUGCCAACUGUGUAUUUCUUGUGGCACAAGGAAAAACAUGAUGGUAGUGGUGGUGGUAGUGAAGGUUCUUCCUGGAAAAACAGUGGGGGAUGCAGGAUGUGUGCUGAAGGAAAUAGCAGAGCUGAAGGCCUGGGUUGAAGGGGUGAUGUCUGAAAGGAGCUCCUGGUGAAAGUGUGGGAUGGUGUGAAACAGGCCUUAAAAAUAUGGCGAGUGAACAGCAGCUUUUCCUGAGAACCAGGUGCCUCUGGAAGUGUGGAAACCUGCGUGUAAAAUCUGAAUUGUGUGGAAACAAGAUGUCACAUAAUUCCCUGUGAAGAUGGGAGGAGCAGGAAUGCAGUAUUCAGGAUGGAACUGUGCUUCUCCCCCAGUUUUAUAGUUUGGGAAUAUAUUUUACCCUCACAUGCAUUUAGUUGCACUGAUUAAAACUGAACUGUAUCUUCUUCCAUCACUGCCAUCAGGCUGGAAAUCCAAAAAAAGAUUUAAUUUCCUAAAGAGACAAGUCCCAGUAAUGUGUGAUUAUUAACUGGACAACUCUUCAGAAUUACAAAAUGCUGCCAAACACAAGCAAACCAACCUUGAGUUGGGAUUGUGGGGCUGCCAGGUAUAAGUAGAGAUUAUAAACUGUGAUUUUUACCUCGUGAAGGAAUGAUUAAUAUUUUCAGUAUUUUCAUUAAUUAUUAAUGAAUAUUUUA